AUUUGGUCUCCUGUAUGGAGAGUGAAGGCGCGCCGGGAUGACCAUAUAUGGAGAGGAAGCCCCCGCGAGCCCACCGCUGAGCGCUCGAGCCCGUAGGUCACGCUGCUCAGCUGGAAGCUCGAACAUCAACAACACACAGCAGCUGAUGACGUUGUGUUUCUAAAACGAAGGUCGGGACCCCCAACACACGGGACAGCUGCUCUGAGGAACCAGAGACAGAGACACUGAGCCCACAGUGUUUCUCCAGUGUUUAUCCAGCUGAUACUGAGAGGUGUCUGGAUCUCAGAGGCUCGUCCGUCCAGGAGAGAACGUUUGUGUUUGGGGUCUUCAGCCUGAUGACCUCCACCUGUCGUUGGGAUUCCUGCAGAAUCUGCUUCCUCCUUCUUUUGUGACGCAGCUGCUGUUUCCUUUUGUUUCAGACACUUUACACCUGCUCACAUCACUGAUGCCUGAUUAUCAAAGUGUGUUCUGUUCUAAUUGGUACUUCUGUAAAUAAAAAAGCUUA